rnacentral:lncRNA from 1 species
AAGGAAUAAUACGAGGAAAUAAAAAGGAGCAAGUGCUCGGAACCUCGAAAGGAAAAAAAAGUGAGAUGAGAGGUAAAAAUGGACAAGUGUCCGACAGUAGAAUUAGGGGUGCAAGAUACCCACCUGAGAGACAAGAAAAAGAAGAGCAUCUCAUUCUCCUCAUAAAGUUUCAAAAGCAAGGAAGGUAUGUAUCCCCUCAAAGAGCAAAGUAGAAUUAGACUUCCACCACCAUUGUUUUCACCAUUGUUAUCACUAUCAUCACCAUACACCAUUCAUUCGCCACACAUGCACAUCUUGAUUAAACUUAUUGACUUGUUACUUUGGAUCCAUGGUUUGACUAUGCAAUAAAUGUCUUGUAAGUAUGUAUACUUUAUCUCCCACCUAUGAGCUCCAGAUAUUAAAGCCUUAUUAGAGUAGGGUGAGAGAGAAGGCAAUGUCACUAUGCUUUGUACCACAAAUACCACAUAUCUUGAGAGAAGGCAUAUACCAUCAAUGCCUUGGUAAGGAUCCAAAAAUACCACAAAAGAGAGACCUG